rnacentral:misc_RNA from 1 species
UCCCGGUUGGCCCGGGCAGUCUCGCAUGAAAAAUACAACAUACGAUAAGGGUUGCGCUCGUUGCGGGACUUAACCCAACAUCUCACGACACGAGCUGACGACGGCCAUGCAGCACCUGUCACUAGGCUCCCGAAGGCACCCCUCGAUUUCUCGAAGGUUCCUAGGAUGUCAGGCCUGGGUAAGGUUCUACGCGUAGCGUCAUAUUAAACCACAUCCUCCUCUGCUUGUGCGGGUCCCCGUCAAUUCCUUUGAGUUUUAGCCUUGCGGCCGUACUUCCCAGGCGGCAUACUUAUCGCGUUAGCUUCGACGCACAGGGGGUCGAUACCCCAUACGUCUAGUAUGCAUCGUUUACGGCGUGGACUAC